GAUUUGGCACUAUCUAUAUUUAUAGUUAUUUACAACAAUGUGGCGCCAGGGAAUUCGCCACAGUUUCCCCAAUUAUGGCGAACCCGGCGCAGUAUAAUAUUGUUUUAAUCCUGAUUUGAAAGCAAACAAUCCGAUAUCUCUGCAUGUUACGGAGGUCACUACUUAAAAUGUUCCACGUAAAAUGUAAUUGUUUCUCAAAGGGUAUUACAAAUUAAAUUUAACCAAGUUUUCAUUUAUAUAUAACUGGAUUUUGCUACAUUGUCAUCAAUAUAAGUGUAAAUGUUAAUGAUUUUAUAUCUGAGUAGAAUCAAGCCCACGUGAUCGUGACUAUCGUGUGUCUCUGCCAUUUUAAUAAAUAAUAAUACAUAAACCCAGA